UGCCAGCAGCCGCGGUAAUACGGAGGGGGUUAGCGUUGUUCGGAAUUACUGGGCGUAAAGCGCACGUAGGCGGACUAUUAAGUCAGGGGUGAAAUCCCGGGGCUCAACCCCGGAACUGCCUUUGAUACUGGUAGUCUAGAGUUCGAGAGAGGUGAGUGGAAUACCCAGUGUAGAGGUGAAAUUCGUAGAUAUUGGGUGGAACACCAGUGGCGAAAGCGGCUUCCUGGCUCGAUACUGACGCUGAGGCGCGAAAGCGUGGGGAGCAAACGGGAUUAGAUA
rnacentral:rRNA from 1 species